rnacentral:lncRNA from 1 species
UUGAUGUGCAUUUUUAGUAUGAUACGUAUGACUAAACUCUAAAUUGUAUGUACAUCUUUAGUAGUAGAUCAUUAACCCCGAGGAGUUUUGAGCCUUAUAUGGAUAACACACAAAAAUCCAUCCAUUUCUUUCUUGUGUGAUUCACUCAUAUCUGUUAGUCUCUAGAACUUGAAUUGACUCUUGUUGAUGUUGUUGUUUACUUGUGCACACUGAUAUGAUAAAGACAAUUUUUUGUUCUUUUUUGUUUUUUAGCCAGUUAGCCAG